rnacentral:lncRNA from 1 species
CUCCGCUCCCCGAUUCGGGCAGGCCUGCUCCCAUCUCACUUGACAGCUGUGGACAUUGGAAUAAUACAAAACAUAACCUAAUCAACAGACUGUGAAAAAUCUGAAAGCUAAAGACAGAUGUUCUGCUGCCAUCACUACCUUUCAUAGUUAAUUAUAUUUAUGUGGGGGGAAAACAAGUGAUAAGUCAACUCCUUUAAGAAGGCCUCCUUUCCUAUUAAUGGUGGCACUGUCAUUGUCUUGGGCUUACAAUCAAGUCAUCAUACCUGCCAAGUGAUGAUGAAAUUGAGCAUUUUUCAUGCUCACUAAGGUACUCUGCAUUAUCUCAUGUACUCUUCACUGACCCUAGGAGACAGGAGGAAGAAGAACCCCAACAAGAGAGCAGUAAGCAGCAGACAAGUCCCGGAGUUCUUGGGAGCUGGGAUAAAGUAACAACAAAAGGGGAAUGA